rnacentral:rRNA from 1 species
GAUGAACGCUGGCGGCGUGCCUAAUACAUGCAAGUCGAGCGAACAGACGAGGAGCUUGCUCCACUGACGUUAGCGGCGGAUGGGUGAGUAACACGUGGAUAACCUACCUAUAAGACUGGGAUAACUUCGGGAAACCGGAGCUAAUACCGGAUAAUAUAUUGAACCGCAUGGUUCAAUAGUGAAAGACGGUUUUGCGGUCAAUUAUAGAUGGAUCCGCGCCGCAUUAGCUAGUUGGUAAGGUAACGGCUUACCAAGGCAACGAUGCGUAGCCGACCUGAGAGGGUGAUCGGCCACACUGGAACUGAGACACGGUCCAGACUCCUACGGGAGGCAGCAGUAGGGAAUCUUCCGCAAUGGGCGAAAGCCUGACGGAGCAACGCCGCGUGAGUGAUGAAGGUCUUCGGAUCGUAAAACUCUGCUAUUAGGGAAGAACAAAUGUGUAAGUAACUAUGCACGUCUUGACGGUACCUAAUCAGAAGGCCACGGCUAACUACGUG